UUAUAUGACGUCACUGAUCAGUCGGAGAGAGCUAGCGUGCGGUAGCAUUUUAGCUGUGCUCACGCUUCAGUUUGUAUGUACCACAGAAGAGAACGGACAUUUUCCAAACCAAAGAUGAGUCUUUAGAAUUAUGUCAUAUUUGAUCUACAGUCCAACCUCUAAGCAGGACUGUUACUUCAGUAGAUAAUGUUAUUCGUGGGGUUGUGUAACAGAACCCCAUCAGAAUAUCUUUUCCUAACGUUAGUGCUGUGCUACAAAAGAGUAAAUAACUAGUCAGCCAUUACUACGUUUUACUAAAAGUAAAGUUGUGCAGAAGUUUGUGUUUAUUUUUCUAAAUUUGUCCUGUUGAAUGUAGGUCAGAAUAAAAUAUGUUUGUGAAAAUGAUAAAUAAUUUUUUUAUGACUGACCUGCAUUUUCAUAUUACUAGUUGUGCCACAGGUAAAGACGCUUAGCCAUUAUUGAUCUAUGUAAACAGAAGGUGUAGAGUCUCAACCAACUUGUUGACAUUUUUGUUUAAAAAUGUGUUUUCCAGCUACCGGAAGAAGCAGGCUCCUGAAAAUGCAAUUCAGGGAGAACAGCAGCUAAAAUGUGGCAUCGAUUAUCUCCAACUGAACCUGUGUCUGAGGGGUUAGUAUCUUUUCUGUAAAACAAAUAUUCACGUUUUUGUGCUAUGAUAUUUCAUACAUUAAAUUACACCUUGCAUAUCCACACUUGGUUCAGAACUAACAUCACACCACCAAACACUUCUGACAUUAUCUUUACAGGGAAGAUUUUCUAAUGGCUGGUGUUGAGGCCUUAGCUGAUGACCAAGAUUUAGAUCCUUUUGAAGAAAGGUAAAUUUGUUCAUGAGAAGUCUUGCCAUAUACGCAGGAAAUUACUGCUGUGCAAAAAAUAUAAAAACACAAUAUAUAAGCACAUAUAGGUCAUUUUAUAUAUUUAUUUAUGUUGUGAAGUGUCAAUUCACAGCAGAUUGUUGUUAUUUGCAGAAAGAAUUAAUGACAGAUGUAUUAGGCUCCACAUUUAUCUCCUUAGAAUCAGUACCAUUUCAGGUGAGUUCCAGUAUUUGUCUUUACGUACAACAAAUAUUAUUGUGUUGUCUGUAGUUUCAAAUCCAUGGAUCUAGCUACGGAUGCAGUCCAAAUUGUUGAGGACCAAGCAAACAACUCAACAGUGUGUGAGUUGCAAUGUCUUCUUAUCUAGGGGUGGGCAAUAUAAACGAUAUAAGGUAGAAACGAUAUAAAAUUGGGUAAUGAUAGUUUUUGGCUAUAUCGCAAUAUAGAUUGAGGCCAUAUUGCCCAGCCCUAUUCUUAUCUACACUCUUUUUUUAAACUCCAAAGUCUUAAAACAAUAUAUUAAUUCUACUUUUAUUUAUUGUUUUCAUAACAGAAUAGAACUGUUAUGAAAACUUUGUCAGGCUGACGAAGUUUGCAGCCGCAAACAAAACAUUGCAGGUAAAUAAAACCCUUCUAUGUUUUAAAAAGAACUAAAAGAUGGAAUUGUUGUUUUAUCCUUGUUCACAGGCUGGGAUCCUAAAGGGAAUUUCCAUCCUACUUGUGUGGCUGAAGGACAUCGUCAACCAAUUUUGGUACAUCUGCCAGAAAGCACAACAUCGUGAUAUGUUUAAUGCAUGUGGGUGGGUGUGCUUCACCAUGUCACAGGGAAGCAUGAAUGGACCCGUGGCAAAUGUGACCAUGGACCACUUGAUGCAACGACCAGUGAUAAAGAGCUCAUGGUGCCAUGAUCUCCACCACACGAGGCUCUUCAACGAAUCAUGUUCAACAGACGCUGGUUGAAGGAUGCCACCAAUCUGACCUUUAGGCCCCAGCUACGUGAAGCAUCAAAAGACAGGAAUGACUUCUUUCAUGCACACAGAUUUAUUAGAAAUUAAGAAAAAAUACUAUGUACAAAUGCAAAUAACAGAACUUUUUUGUACAUAAAUAAAAAUAAAUAUAUUGCACAAACUGUUUGUUUAUUUUUGGGUGAAAAUGCUGUCUUCAGCUAAAGUUAUUUUGAGG